UGUGCUAAGGUAGCGAAAUUCCUUGUCGGGUAAGUUCCGACCCGCACGAAAGGCAUAACGACUUGAGAACUGUCUCGGAGGUAGACUCGGCGAAAUUGAGAUGGCUGUGAAGACGCGGCCUAGGUGUGCCAGGACAAAAAGACCCCGUGGAGCUUUACUACAACUUGGCCUUGCGGCUGGUUGCAAGAUGUGUAGCGUAGGUGGGAGGCUUCGGCCAACAAUGAAACACCACCCUUCUUGUAAUUAAUCGCUAACUUUGACCCGUACAAACCGGGCAGAAGACAAGGUCUGGUGGGUAGUUUGACUGGGGCGGUCGGCUGCUAAAGAGUAACGCAGCCGCCCAAAGGUCCGCUUGACCCGGAUGGAAAUCGGGUUGUAAGUGCAAAGGCAAAAGCGGGCUUGACUGCGAGGCCUACAAGCCGAGCAGGUGCGAAAGCAGGGCUUAGUGAUCCUACGAUGCUGUAUGGAAAGCACGUAGCUUAACGGAUAAAAGCUACCCCGGGGAUAACAGGCUAAUAGUGCCCAAGAGUUCACAUCGACGGCACUGUUUGGCACCUCGAUGUCGGCUCGUCCUAUCCUGGGUGGGAAGUACCACCCAAGGGUUGGGCUGUUCGCCCAUUAAAAGGGUACGCGAGCUGGGUUCAGAACGUCGUGAGACAGUAGACCAAUAUUAGUUGACUACUAAUGUUAACGAGCUGUCGUUCCUUCCGAUGUUUUGAAGUUAAGAGGAAAGAAGGACACUCCGAUGUAAGAUCGGAGUGAAAAUCUGGCUAUAUGCUGGAAACUCCGUUCCCUAAAAGGGAUGAAGUAUCUUGAGCUACUAAUCAUCUGGAGUUAUUAUAUCUCUAUAUGGUUAGUGAAAAAGCUGCAAGCGCGGACAAUCAGCAGGCAAACAUAGCAGAUGAGUAUCUAGCAGGAUUCGUUGAUGGUGAAGGCUGUUUUUAUGUGGGAUUCAGUCGUAGAAAAGAUUUGCCCUUAGGUUGGCAGGUAAUUACUGAGUUUCACUUAAGUCAAAAUCCGGGAGGCAAAAAUCUCCUUGAGUUUUUUCAAAAGCGGUUAGGCUGCGGUUAUCUGAAACUUAACCAUCCGAAAAGCUCAAAAGAUAAAUCUUGGGUUUUGAUGAUCAAAGACCGUAGGGACUUAAAAGAAAAAUUAAUACCUUUCUUUGAUAAACAUGGCCUUCAUUCACAGAAACAACACGAUCUUGAGAUCUUUAAGAAAGUUAUCGAGAUAGUGGAAAGUAAAGAUCAUCUUAAAAAGUGUGGUCUUACAAAAAUAGUCAGCUUGGUUUUUGACACGAGCAGAAUUACCAAGAAGCGAUACUCAAAAGAAGCAAUUCUUAGUGCUUUGUAGCCUCAGAGACUAAACGCUAGACUACCCUUCGCUAAAAAGCUAUGGGUAGAAGAUAUAGUCCGAACUCAGCAGCGAUGCUGAGAGUUGGAUAGAAAUAUUCAACCUCUUUACCAAAGUUGGUAAAGAAAGUAACAAACUGUCGGUCUCUAUCCGGCAUACCCGUGUGAACCUUGAGAGGAGCUGCUCCUAGUACGAGAGGACCGGAGCGGACCAGCCUCUGGUGUACCAGUUGUCGCAGCAGCGGCAGCGCUGGGUAGCUAUGCUGGGUCAGGAUAAGCGCUGAAAGCAUCUAAGUGCGAAGCCUACCUCAAGAUUAGGGUUCUUAGAUCCCUGGGAGACCACCAGGUUGAUAGGCGGCAAGUGUAAGACUGGUAACAGUUUCAGCUAAGCCGUACUAAUAGAUCAAAUUAGAUUCUA
rfam:Candidatus Woykebacteria bacterium RBG_16_43_9 RBG_16_scaffold_6051, whole genome shotgun sequence.